rnacentral:rRNA from 1 species
GACAGAGGUCCCGAGCGUUAGGCGGAAUCACUGGGCUUAAAGCGUGUGUAGGCGGAUUGGUAAGUACCUUGUGAAAUCCCACGGCUCACCCGUGGAACUGCUUGGUAUACUGCUUAUCUUGGGCCACUUAGGGGCUACCGGAACAAACGGUGGAGCGGUGAAAUGCGUAGAUAUCGUUUGGAACGCCAAUGGUGAAAACAGGUAGCUGGGAGUGUGCCGACGCUGAGACACGAAAGCCAGGGGAGCGAACGGG